GACCUCUCCCUCUCCCUCUCCCUGGUUCCCAUCGCCACGCCGGUGCUCAACAAGGACGACUACCUCACCGCGCUCGCCGCCACCGGCAAGGAGCAGUAGGCGAGCGCGUGGAACCCGUCCCCCGCGCCGUCUCAGGAGCUGCAGUUCAGCUGGACGGUCUGCGGGAAGGCGUUUGCGUCGUACCAGGCGCUCGGCGGGCACAAGUCCAACCACCGCCCACCGGCGUCCGCGGGCGCUGGGUCAGAGGCGAGCGCGGCGGCGUCCUCGGGCAGGAGCAGCGGCGGCCCGCAUCAGUGCACCGUCUGCGGGCGGGACUUCACGACCCGACAGGCGCUCGGAGGGCACAAGCACUGCCACUACUGGGACGGCACCUCCGUGUCCAUGUCCAUGUCCGUCUCCGUGUCGGCGUCCUCCACCGUGCUGAGGAACUUCGACCUAAACCUGCUGCCGAUGCCGGAGAACGCAGGGGUGAAGAUGAAGAGGCGGCCCGAGGAGGAGGAGGUGCAGAGCCCUCUCCCCACCAAGAAGCUGGGGAUUUUGCUGUAA
rnacentral:rRNA from 1 species